rnacentral:tRNA from 1 species
UGGGGCGUGGCCAAGUGGUAAGGCACCGGUUUUUGGUAUCGGUAUUCGCAGGUUCGAACCCUGCCGCCCCAGCCA